rnacentral:rRNA from 1 species
GCUGGCGGCGUGCCUAACACAUGCAAGUCGAACGAAGCUGCGAUGAAGGAGGCUUCGGCCAAUGGAUUCGUAGACUUAGUGGCGGACGGGUGAGUAAUGCGUGAGCAACCUGCCCUUCAGAGGGGGACAACAGUUGGAAACGACUGCUAAUACCGCAUGACAUUGCGGGGAGGCAUCUCUCUGCAAUCAAAGAUUUAUCGCUGAAGGAUGGGCUCACGUCUGAUUAGCUAGUUGGUAGGGUAACGGCCUACCAAGGCUGCGAUCAGUAGCCGGACUGAGAGGUUGAACGGCCACAUUGGGACUGAGAUACGGCCCAGACUCCUACGGGAGGCAGCAGUGGGGAAUAUUGGGCAAUGGGCGCAAGCCUGACCCAGCAACGCCGCGUGAAGGAAGAAGGCUUUCGGGUUGUAAACUUCUUUUAUGAGGAACGAAGGACGUGACGGUACCUCAUGAAUAAGCCACGGCUAACUACGUGCC